rnacentral:rRNA from 1 species
GUCGAGAAUCUUCCGCAAUGCGCGAAAGCGUGACGGAGCGACACCGCGUGAUGGAUGAAGUCCUUCGGGGCGUAAACAUCUUUUAUAAAGGAGGAAAUUUUUGACGUUACUUUAUGAAUAAGGGGCUCCCAAUCUCGUGCCAGCAGGAGCGGUAAUACGAGAGCCUCAAGCGUUAUCCGGAAUCAUUGGGCGUAAAGGGUGCGUAGGUGGCUGGAUUAGUCUCCCGUUAAAACUUCGAGCUUAACUCGAAAAGAGCGGGGGAAACGGUCAAACUAGAGUAUGUGAGAGGUGUGUGGAACUCAUGGUGUAGGGGUGAAAUCCGUUGAUAUCAUGGGGAACACCAAAAGCGAAGGCAGCACACUGGCACAUCACUGACACUGAGGCACGAAACCUAAGGUAGCGAAUGGGAUUAGUUACCCGGGUAGUCC